UUUAAAAUAAAUAAUAAAUAGAAAAAAAAUAAAAUGGAAACCUUUUACUUAGGAAAAAAAAUCAAAUAGAUUGCUUAUCAAUAUUUGAUAUAUCAUUGUGCCUACAAUUUCUGCAUGCUUAUUUAAAUACAUAUUUCAUAGUCACUGGAAUAUAACUACAUGCUUCACUGACAUCAGUUCUUCCUGGAUCCCACAAGGAGGAAAUUUACCUGCUAAUGCAAUGCAUUUGGAGAGAGAGCAGAGAGCCGCAGCCCGGCUUAACAUGUGCAGUGCAUUCUUACUGCGUCUUCCUUCGGUAUCACAGAGCUUAUGGAUGUGGAAUCCUUCAAACUCAGCUCCUGGAGCUGUAGAAAUAGCACAUGGAUUGAGACCAGAUGCCGUGCUCUCCAGAAAGCUGGUUUGGUAACAGGUUUCAGCUGUGUGAACAUUCAAUUCCCUGAUCCAGGAGCAUGGACCUCAGAGUGAACAGGCUAAAAAGGGAUGCUGUGGACACUUUCUCCAUCAUUCACCUCUCCUUCUAAAGCUCUAGCACUGAGCAAUCGCAGUUCUAAAGAGCAGUCCUGUGUACCCCCAUUUAUGGUUUUUUAAUGUUCAAUUAAUAUUACGGAAACAAAUCCUUUCAGCAACUUCUAAAUAAAUUUUCUAAAAUCUGCUUGUCUCAGAAUUUACAAACAAAACAUACAGCUUUUUGAAGACGCUAAUGUUCACAGCCCUUUAUGCCACUUUAUCACACCUCAUGUUCUCAAAGCCCCGGAGCAAAAGGAAUUUUUUUUGUUUAUUUACAUUUCUGGGAAAGAAUUUCCACUUGCUUCUGUACCUGAUCAUUUUUUUGCCAAAAUCAAACCUAAAAUUUAUAGAUAAUACCUUUUUCUUUCAUUAAAAUCAUGAAAUAUAUUAAAAUCCUACCUGCUAAAAAAAAGGAGGGGGAAUUUCAUGUGGCUCAAGACAAAAGACAUUUUUCAUAAAAUUAAUUAAAUUAAAACAUGAAAUCAAAAUAAGAAUGAAGUUGAAUUCCAGCUGCCAGCCAGGGGCCUCCUCUUCCAAUAAGUCACCAGACAGACAAUAAUGUGAACCCUGAUGUCCACUGCAAUCACCAGUGCCAAGUGUGGUAGUAGGUACACAUACCUACCAUAAGAAGAAGGUGAUAUUUAGAACUCUUAAAAUUUUUCUUUUCUUUUUUUUUUUUUACUUACAGAAUUUUCCUCUCCGACAAGCUGCCUGCCUUAACGGCUUGCUUGUUGGGGAUAUUUAUGGUACUGGAGUGAGUCUUAUUUAUUUAUUUUUUUCUCUUAAUUUUGCCUCUAAUACCAGAUUCCUAUCUCUUUGAAUCCCAAUAAUGUAAAUUGUGGAUCUGAGUAGAUCUAGAGGAAUGACAGGAAUGAGAAACACUUCUGGGAUAUUCAGAAGUUGAAGCAGAUUUGGUUGAUGGAACAUUGCCUCCAGUCUUAGCAAGUAUGGAGGCUAAAACCUGGAAAAAUGGCUAAUGAAGGCAAGGUUUGCACCUUGUUUUCAGGAAACAAAAAAGCACCCGCUGUUUAUUUCUGCUUCCCCAAAUGCAGGUGUUUUGAAUCUAAAUACAAGGGGGCUGGCAUUUCUUCCAAACAAGCUGUGCACUGCAGCUCUUAGAGUCCUAAAUCCUCAACACAUUUACAGGUAAGUGUCUAGCCUGGACCACACAUCAAACACAGCCACUGCUGUCUUUGCUCCAGAGCCAUGAGCUUGCGGGAUUGUGGCUUCGCUUCUCGUGAGGCUCUGGCUGACAAAUGGCAACUAUUUAAUGGUGUGUUGAAGAGGUGGAAGCCAAUGGAAGAGGAGGUUAAAAACUAGAACUCAGCCCUUUCCUGGUAACCCAAAGAAUUUCCCCAGUUGCCAUUGAUGCUGGUUUUUCUUGUGUGUGUGUGUGUUCAUACGAAUACAUAUACGCCUCAGCAGAUUCCAUAUAUGUUCUUAUGCAUGUUAAUAACAGUGUUUUACUAUAGACGGAGUGAGAGAGGGGGCACCGAAUUUGAAGUGAUGUGCUUAUAAAGGAUGUCUGUGAUUUCCAAUCCAGCGAACCACUGGGGAGUGAAGGAACUAUGUGGAAUUGACAUUUCUCAAAAAUGAAGCCCGAGAAACUACAAAGGCACACAGUUUCAGCUCUCAGAGUUCCCCGGGGGAAAGAAGGUGGUUAAGAAGGUGGCAUCUGGAGUCAGAUGGCUUAGGUUCAAAUCCCAGCUCCAUUGUGUAAGUUCUCUGUGCCUCAGUGUCCCCAUCUGCAAAAUGGGAUUGUUUGGGUAGUCAGUGAGCUAAUACCGGUAGGGUGCUGAGAACACUGCCUGGCCUCAAGCUAGAAAACAAGAUAUGGCAACACUGAAGGACUGGCCAGGCUACACUAGUUUUCCUUCUACAUUGCUGUUCCAAGGAGGCUGUUUCUUCCAUUUUUAUAACAGAACUUUUAGAUUUGUUUUCUGAAAUGCAGCUAAGCUUUGUCCCCUUUAUUCUCUUCUCACGGCCAUUACCCGAGGAGCGAGGGUUUUCCUCAGGCGAAGCUGGUGCAGUAACUUCCCAGGUGGUCUCUGUCUCUGCACACCUGCCGUCCCAGAGCUUCCAGGCUGUCCCAGGUGCUGUUUGCUCAGUGCUGCUUUCACCUCACCACACGCGGUACCCCUGCCCCGCUGCACGCAGCCUAAGACCUCUGCCUGGUUUCCACACCUUCCAAUCCAAACUCCUCAUGCCACCCCCAGCCCCAAAGCAUCCCCACGUGCAGGGCAGGCCCAGGAAUACCUCCUCUUUUGCUAUGUCAGUGGCCUCACCGAGGACGGGGUCCUGUAGGACCUGCAUUUUCUGAAAGGAGAAAGGAAGUGUUUUCCAAACAGAGGGUGGUAGCUGUGAGAAAAGAAAUAAAGGGAACCAUGAAUCAGAUGGACUUUCUGAAGUCAAGAAAUGGCGCCAUUCCAAGACUCAAGGAAGAAUGGAAAGCAGCUCGAUACUAUUAAUUCCCUUUUGUCUUUACAUCAGUGAGCUCUCCUCCCUCACCCAGCACCUGGGACAUAAGAAACCAGUGCACAUCCAUGUAUUGAUGAUGCCACAGGAAGAAUCAAUGUGUUGCAACCCUAUGUUCUUUGAAAAAACUAUAAUGGUUAUGAGAGGAAAUAAUUUUGAGCAUAACUCUUAGUUUACGUGUCUUCUACUCUUUGUUCCCGUCGUGUUUUUGGUUUUUUUUUUUUUAAUCUCUGCAAUGGCUGAGUGUACAUCCUCUGUUCACACCUGCACCUU